AAAAAUCCGAUCUCCAAAUUCUUCUAUUUUCCCUGUCAAAAAAAUUCUUGAAAAUCACCUUUUUUUUUCGACCGUCACAGUGGUGUUUCCCCUUAAUAUUGAAUGCAUU